rnacentral:tRNA from 1 species
GCCGCGAUGGUGAAAUUGGCAGACACGCAGGCUUCAGGAGCCUGUUCCCUUUAACAAGGAGUGGGAGUUCAACUCUCCCUCGCGGCACAA